rnacentral:misc_RNA from 1 species
GAUGAAGAACGCAGCGAAAUGCGAUAAGUAAUGUGAAUUGCAGAAUUCAGUGAAUCAUCGAAUCUUUGAACGCAUCUUGCGCUCCUUGGUAUUCUGAGGAGCAUGCCUGUUUGAGUGUCAUUAAAUUCUCAACUACACUGACUUUGAAUUGGUGUGGCUUGGAUUUGGGGGGAAAAUUGUUGUGGGCUUUUUGUAUAGUCUGCUCCCCUGAAAUUGAUUAGAGGUACCUUUGUGGAACUGUCUACAGGUGUGAUAAUUAUCUACAUCUUAGACAUCUGCUGGAAUGCUGCUUUCUAAACCUUACUUGUAUUGACAAUCUUGACCUCAAAUCAGGUAGGACUACCCGCUGAACUUAAGCAUAUCAAUAAGCGGAGGA